AUGACCUUAAACUCCUCAAAAUUGAUCAUACCGUCGCCAUCGCUGUCGACCGCACUGAUCAUCUUCUUGCACUCAGCGAUCGAACACUCGUCCCCCAAGCUCCUCAGCACUUUAUACAAUUCCUCGGCCGAAAUCGACCCAUUCCCAUCAAUGUCGUAGACCGAGAAAGCGUCUUUCAGAUUCUCCAGCGCCUCGGCCUGGUCGACCCCGUUGGUGUUGAGCUCGACGAACUCUUUGAAGUCGAUGAAGCCAUCGCCGUCGGAAUCGACCUCUAAGAUCAUGUGGCUGAGCUCCUCUUCGUUGGCCGGCUGGCCCAGGCUGCUCAUGAUGGCUCCGAGCUCGGAAGACGAGAUCUUGCCGUCGCCAUUGACGUCGAAUUUCUUGAAGACCUGGUCGAGUUCGGCGAUCUGA
rnacentral:lncRNA from 1 species